rnacentral:lncRNA from 1 species
GAAUUGCAAACUUAUAGCAUGCACAGUGCAAUAACAAGAGCUGACAAUUAAAGAAGAAUAAAUAUUUCAUGUUCCAAAAUAUCAUCAUUAAUAUUACAUUAUAAAAAUAACACUUUACAACAUGUUUAGUCAGAAUUUUCAUCUUCGUCCUCAAUUGAAUUGUUAUUGUCAGCUUCAUCGCAAUCUUUAAUGUGGUUAUCAUCUUCUUCAUCAACAUUCUCUAGUCCAUUAAAGCUCAAAACAGCAUCCAACUCCUCUUGGGUUUAGCCUUGCAUGUUUGUUGAACAACUAAUCAAAAAUAUGGAAGAAUGCAUGAUUUAGGGUUUCUUAGAAGAGGAGGGUGUUUUUUCUCCUCUUGGGUGGAUUCCCCCCUUCUCUUCUCUCAUUCUUUUUAUAUGCUAGGAAACCCUAAUCUCUAUUUUACAAAAUAGUCCUCCCUUAAGUAAACAAUUUACAUUUAAGUAGUUCAAUAACUAUUUUCCUAAAAAAAGAGAAAUAGCUUUGCAUGAAAUCUUCAAGCUUUGACUUAGAGGAGCUACAUUUCUGAAAUAAAAACUUGGAUGUCGGUUUAGAUGCUUCCGAACGUAAUUUGGACUCAUUUCUUCACGAAACCUGUUUGCUGGCAGAAUUCAGUUGUCAUCUUUCAAAAAUCAUAUCUCCCUCAUAUGAUAUCUUUUUUGGCUGAAAUUUGGAGCGUUUAUAUUCCUUUGAGUCAAGAAUCCAAAACAAUUUAGUUUGCAUCAAUUGGACUUUUGUAGCUCUAGAUAUUCAAGUCGGAAUGAUCAAAGGUCAAUACUGGUAGAUUGUGAGAUUUGACUUUGAAAGCUGCGAUGUCCAUGCUCUUCCUUAUUUUAUUGCCUUGCCUUAGAUUUCCAGAAAGGUAUGGAUGUUAGCUUUUUAAUUCCACUGGAAUCACUUCAUUUCGACCUUUAGAGCUCACGCUCUGCACGAAACAUCGACUGAAUGUCAAAUCUGCCAAUUACCUUCAAUUUACUCCCUUUUGCAUCUUUCAUCCAAAAGUGCCUUCAAAACAUAAAACAAAGAAUAUCAAGUCAUUUUAUAUAUAAAACAUAGGCAACACACUAGUUAAAUGUGGGUGAAACUAUCGAAUAAUAUGGUUGCAUCAGGGUCCUUGAGUAAAAUUUAGGGAAAUGUGGAAUUGAUUGGAAUUAAAUGAGUUGAGCAGCAUAAGUUGCCUAAAAAGGAUGGAAUUAUGAAAAGAAGAUUUCAACAAAAUCAAAGACUAUGGGGAAAUAGUGGCCGGCCAUGGGAUUGUAAGGAAAGAAAGGAAAUUUUGAUAAUUUGCGUUGUUUUCCUUAUUGCAAAAAUUAAAACAGGUUUCAGGAGGUGAAUAAUAAGGAAAUGUGGUAAUUGAGUGUGUGUGUGUGUGUGUGUGUGUGUGUGUCUAUAUAUAUAUAUAAGAGAGAGAGAGAGAAGGAACUGAUUUAAGGACCGGCCACUGGAGGGGAAGGAAAAACAAAACAGGGGAGGAGAACGUAUGACUCCCCUGUUAAUUAAUUAAGUGUGUUGAUGUAUUGUAGUUACAAAUUGUAACUUAUAAGGGAGAGGAACCUACAUUCCAGGUAAGGAAAACAUGGCUGAAAUUGAUGGGAAGUAGGAUUGGAGAUAAAAAUUGUAGGUGCCUUCUUUAUUGACAGAACAGGGCAGGUUCAUUUCCCUGGUUCCUGAAGGAAUCUAGACCUGAAGAUGAUAGAAUUUAGGGAGGGUCCAUUCAUAGAAGUUGUAGCUGGGAGUGUUAGCUUUCCAACGAGUCCAACCCCGCCUAAUUUGGAGUCCUGGAACUCCAGAUACAAAUGAAAAUCUGAGGAGAGGUCAAGCUACCACCCCGGUUGGCAGUUUCAGCCAAGUCGAUAAAACAGCGAAAUUUAGCCGUAUUAAGGGUAGAAUUUGUUUUCUCACCCUUCAUAAAGU